rnacentral:rRNA from 1 species
GAUGAACGCUGGCGGCGUGCCUAAUACAUGCAAGUCGAGCGAACAGACGAGGAGCUUGCUCCACUGACGUUAGCGGCGGACGGGUGAGUAACACGUGGAUAACCUACCUAUAAGACUGGGAUAACUUCGGGAAACCGGAGCUAAUACCGGAUAACAUGUUGAACCGCAUGGUUCAACAGUGAAAGACGGUCUUGCUGUCACUUAUAGAUGGAUCCGCGCCGCAUUAGCUAGUUGGUAAGGUAACGGCUUACCAAGGCAACGAUGCGUAGCCGACCUGAGAGGGUGAUCGGCCACACUGGAACUGAGACACGGUCCAGACUCCUACGGGAGGCAGCAGUAGGGAAUCUUCCGCAAUGGGCGAAAGCCUGACGGAGCAACGCCGCGUGAGUGAAGAAGGUCUUCGGAUCGUAAAACUCUGUUAUUAGGGAAGAACAAAUGUGUAAGUAACUAUGCACGUCUUGACGGUACCUAAUCAGAAAGCCACGGCUAACUACGUG